rnacentral:rRNA from 1 species
GUCGAACGCUUCUUUCCUCCCGAGUGCUUGCACUCAAUUGGAAAGAGGAGUGGCGGACGGGUGAGUAACACGUGGGUAACCUACCCAUCAGAGGGGGAUAACACUUGGAAACAGGUGCUAAUACCGCAUAACAGUUUAUGCCGCAUGGCAUAAGAGUGAAAGGCGCUUUCGGGUGUCGCUGAUGGAUGGACCCGCGGUGCAUUAGCUAGUUGGUGAGGUAACGGCUCACCAAGGCCACGAUGCAUAGCCGACCUGAGAGGGUGAUCGGCCACACUGGGACUGAGACACGGCCCAGACUCCUACGGGAGGCAGCAGUAGGGAAUCUUCGGCAAUGGACGAAAGUCUGACCGAGCAACGCCGCGUGAGUGAAGAAGGUUUUCGGAUCGUAAAACUCUGUUGUUAGAGAAGAACAAGGACGUUAGUAACUGAACGUCCCCUGACGGUAUCUAACCAGAAAGCCACGGCUAACUACGUGCCAGCAGCCGCGGUAAUACGUAGGUGGCAAGCGUUGUCCGGAUUUAUUGGGCGUAAAGCGAGCGCAGGCGGUUUCUUAAGUCUGAUGUGAAAGCCCCCGGCUCAACCGGGGAGGGUCAUUGGAAACUGGGAGACUUGAGUGCAGAAGAGGAGAGUGGAUUCCAUGUGUAGCGGUGAAAUGCGUAGAUAUAUGGAGGAACACCAGUGGCGAAGGCGGC